rnacentral:sRNA from 1 species
UGAGAUCGUUGAGCGUACGACUGAGGUCC